AUCACGCGGUACCGCCGCCUCGUGUCGGCGUCGGCGAGGGGCCUGCCCUACUCCGGCUUCUACAACUUCUACUUCGACAGCAACAACAUCCUCAACCUCAUGUACGACGGCCCCGAGAUCAGCAGCAACUACUGGCCCAACCCGUUCAACAAGUGGUGGGACAACAACCGGACCGCCUACAACAGCAGCCGCUACGGCAGCCUCAGCGCGCGCGGCCGCUUCUACGCCAGCGACAACCUCAAGUUCAACGCCUCCGACCUCGGCGACGCCGGCGUCAUGCGCCGCCUCACGCUCGACUACGACGGAAACCUCCGCCAGUACAGCCUCGACGUCUCCGGCCGGUCACGUGGGACGUGGCGGGUCACGUGGGCGGCCAUGUCGCGCCAAUGCGACGUGCACGGCAUUUGCGGCCGCUACGGGCUGUGCACGUACGGGCUGGGCGGGGCGCCGGUGUGCUCGUGCCCGGAGGGGUUCGUCGUCGCCAACGCCAGCGACUGGAGCAAGGGCUGCCGGCGCGAGUUCGACGUCCGGUGCGGCGAGGACGUGUACUUCGCGCCCAUGCCGGCCGCCGACUACUGGGGCUUCGACUUCAACUACACCGAGGCGCUCACCUUGGACACGUGCCGCCAGAUCUGCCUCGACGACUGCAACUGCGAGGCGUUCGGCUACAAGCAGGGCUCCGGCAAGUGCUACCCCAAGAUCGCGCUCUGGAACGGCCGACGCCCGGACAGCAAGCAGGUCAUCUACCUCAAGGUGCCCCGCCGCGUCCAGAACCUCGACCCCUCCGUGCUGCGCCUCGGCGGCCACAGGUGCACCGUGCGCGAGGUGAACGCCAACAGCAGCGCCUCCUACCUGCUGGCCGCCGGCAGCAAGCUCAACUUCGUCUACUUCUACUCCUUCCUGGCCGGGCUGUUCGUCAUGGAGGCCAUCUUCAUCGCCGUCGGGUACCUGUUCGUGUUCCGGGCCGACCCGGCGGCGCGGCGGAUCCGCGACGAAGGGUACAGCCUGGUGCUCAACCACUUCAGGCGGUUCACGUACGACGAGCUGUCGGCCGCGACCUCCGAGUUCAGCGAGGAGGUCGGGAGGAGCGCGUCGGGGGCCGUGUACAAGGGCGUCCUGGACGACGGCCGGAGCGUCGCCGUGACGCGGCUGGAGGAGGAGAUGCAGGCCGACGAGGUGUUCUGGUCGGACCUCAGCGUCAUCGGUCGGAUCAACCACAUGAACCUGGUCAGGAUCUUCGGCUUCUGCUCCGAGCACUCGCACCGGCUCCUCGUGUCGGAGCACGUGGAGAAGGGCUCGCUCGACAAGGUCCUCUUUCUCGACGGCGAGGACGGCGCCGCCACGCUUGGCUGGCACGCGAGGUACGGGGUCGCCGUGGGCGUGGCCAAGGGGCUGGCGUACCUGCACCACGAGUGCCUGGAGUGGAUCGUGCACUGCGACGUGAAGCCGGAGAACAUCCUGCUGGGCGCGGACCUGGAGCCCAAGAUCAACGACUUCGGGCUGGUGAAGCUGCUGAGCCGGCGGGACGAGCGCGGGCGGGUGCUGUCCCGGGUGCAGGGCACCAGGGGGUACGUCGCGCCGGAGUGGGCGCUGAGCCUGCCCAUCACCGGCAAGGCCGACGUGUUCAGCUUCGGCGUGGUGCUGCUGGAGCUGCUCCGUGGGCAGCGGGUGUGCGACUGGGAGGUGGACGGAGGGGGAGGGGAGGCGCUGCGCAUGGACUUCCCGCGGCUCGUCGCGCUGCUGAGGGAGGAGACGAGGGACCUGCAGGAGGCGUGGCUGGAGGAGUUCGUCGACGCGCGGCUGCGCGGCGACUUCAGCCACCCGCAGGCGGCCGCGAUGCUGGAGGUGGCGGUGUCGUGCGUGGACGACGACCCCGGCAGGAGGCCCAGCAUGGACGCCGUCGUGCAGAUGCUCCUCUCGUCGCAGGACGUGGUGCCGCCGUCGCUCCGCCACGCGUCGUCUCCGGUCCCG
rnacentral:rRNA from 1 species